rnacentral:misc_RNA from 1 species
AACCAUUCUCACCUGCGGCUAGACCUGCGGAAGGAUCAUUAACGUACCUUUGUCCACUUGUGAGCCAACUCGUGGGAGUUCCGUCUCCUGCGUAGUUGGUUUACAAGCACCUGUGCAUUUUUAAAGUCUUAACCCUUAACCUUAACCUCUUGGCAAGCAUCUAGAUGUACUUUGUGCGUUUUAGGUGUUUGUCAAUGUUAAGGUUAAGACGGGAUUCUCGGCGCAAGUUGGGAAGCCCGG